ensembl:lncRNA
CACAAAUAUCACUGUGAAUAAUCAGUCUUAAAAUGAGCUUUUGUUUGUUUUUAAUUUUUUUUUACAUUUCUCUACAUAUCUGCCACUUCUAAUACUCUUGCCUCUUUUUCUGUAGAUCCAGGUUUCUACCUAAUAUUAUCUUCUUUCUGCUUCCUUUAAUAUUAACUUCCUUUAAUAUUUCCUGUAAUGUCAGUCUGCUAGGGUCUUUAAAACUCCUUAUUUUGCCUUGCAUUUUGGAAAGAUAUUUUUGCAGAAAAUAGAAUUCUAGAUGAACAAUUUCUUUCUCUAUUUUAAAGAUAUUAGCCCCACUGACUUCCAGCUUGCACUGUUUCCAAAAAGAACACUACUGGCAUUUGCAGAUUGUUCCUCUCUAGGUCUCCUUCUUACCUGGCUGCAUUUAGCAUUUUCUGUUUAUCUCUGAAUUCAGAAAAUUAAUUAUGAUAGAGCUCAGUGUGCUUUUCUUUUUAUUUACUCUACUUCAUAGUCAUUGAACUCAGAUUUGUAUAUUCAUAGUUUUUAUCAAAUUGGGAUGUGGCAUUUCAGCUAGGCCUCCCAGAAGGAACACCUCUGUCUUUGAGAAUAAAGGCCAACUGAUCAUUAUUAAUGACCCUAAUAACCAUUCUUCUUAGGAUGCUGUCCAGAAGUCAGAACAAGCAGGUCCCAGUUUGAUGCUAACGACGCUGAGAUGUGGGUUGAAUUCUGGUGAGAAUCUGAGGUUCUCUCAGUUCCUUGGAGACUCGACGCGUCACCACCACUGCCUUUGGGCUUGGCCGUGGUGAUGGAUAAGGCAUCCCAGGUGGCUCAGUGGUAAAGAACCCGCCUGCCAAUGCAGGAGACACAGGAGAGGCGGGUUCCAUCCCUGGGUCGGGAGAUAAUGGCAACCCACUCCCGUAUUCUUGCCUGGAGAAUCCCAUGGACAGAGGAGCCUGGCGGGCUUCUCUCUGCGGGGCACCAUAGAGUCGGACUCAGCUGCACGCACAUGCACAGCUGGUGAUGGAUACACCACAUGCUACCCAGGAUGCAGGAAGGGCACCCGUCCUUUAGAAGAGGGAAGCAGUCUGUUUGAGCUUGGGGGAGGUUCUUUACCACUGCUGCCACCUGGGAAGCCCUCUUGGCAUAUUUUCCAGCCUUAAGAAGGAAGAAAGGAUGGCCCUAAUGGUCCAGUGCUUGAGGAUCCACCUUGCAAAACAGAGGACACAGGAUCUGAAACCAUCCGUGGGGCGGUUGGACGCACGCGUCCACACGUGGCUUUCCAGAGUGGCGUCUUCGCCGCGCGCAGAAAUCCUGUUCCCGGAGCCCUUCGCCGCGUUCCGCCAGGCCUCCCCCACCCCCACUGCGCCCACCCCCGCUGAUGGGCCUGUUUCCGUGAACGCCGCAGACGACAAACGUGCGGUUUUGAAAGUGUCUCUUUCACGGUCACACAUUUCUUUUCAUUGUGCGUCUUGGCUGAGCCACGCUUCCAGUUCCUAGGGACCCUCCUGGGCUCCGCUUGCAGAGCAUCUCUGCACUUCCACAGCCCCUCCCCCGAGAGCCAGCGGCCGCUGGACCCUGGAUUGUGUAGUGGUCUCUGAAAGCACUCUCAAUAAAAGCUCCGGG